rnacentral:rRNA from 1 species
AUACGGAGGGGGCUAGCGUUGUUCGGAAUUACUGGGCGUAAAGCGCGCGUAGGCGGACCUGCAAGUCGGGGGUGAAAGCCCGAGGCUCAACCUCGGAACUGCCUUCGAUACUGCGGGUCUUGAGUCCGGGAGAGGUGAGCGGAAUUCCUAGUGUAGAGGUGAAAUUCGUAGAUAUUAGGAAGAACACCAGUGGCGAAGGCGGCUCACUGGCCCGGUACUGACGCUGAGGCGCGAAAGCGUGGGGAGCAAACAGGAUUAGAAACCCCUGUAGUCC